UACGGUCCUGAGACAUGGAUGGAAAGAGAAAAAGAGAGAUUGCUGUAGCAAACAGUUGCAUUCAAUCACUGCAGUACAAAGCACUCUGCUAAAAAGCAUAUGUCAGGGCUUUUGUAGGGAAAAACUGCUGUAUUACAAUGAACAAACAACUAAUGAAAGCUAAUUACAAUGUUUUACAGCCACUCACAAUACAAUUACACUGAAUAAAAAAACAGCAAUGGUCAAGAGUCAUAUAUGGUUUUUCUUUUCCACAACCCUACCCUGUUCAGUCUAGUGUCCUUUACCCAGGUCUCUGAAAAUGACAAUGUUUUUGAACAUGGCCACAAUCUCUGAAUCCCAUAUUUAGCUGUGUGGAUGAUCUGGAAUCAGCUCCUGUCUAUGACGAUAAUUUCAGCAGGAUAUUCUAAAGCUGACCCGAGAUCAGUAGGUAAUGUGUUUUAAUGGCGAGUCACUGAGUGGCGAGCGGGAGUGAGGGAGUUCACUAUAGAUCAAUACUUGUCCUCUACUGCUAUAGGAUGAGCUGACACUGUGUUAAACAUCUCCAUCUGCACACUCACUGGACCAGCAUCAGUGUUAGAAAAUACACACAUCUCUCUCACUGUACUUUUUUUGUUCACUAUCUGUCAUCCAAAAAAGGGGAAAGAAGGGCUAACGCUAGACAGUUCUGGGGCAUGAUGAACACAAACGCUGCUAGAUAGAAUGAUUGUUAUAUAGAUAGAUUUUAUUUAUAAAUUCAAAACGAAGACAUCCAGGGGGAUGUGUGCUAAGGCAAUGCAAAGCAGUUACAGAAACAACUGUUGGUGAAGAAUGGAUAACAUUCAUGUGGUUAAAAAUUAAGGAUGCUGUUUUUUCCAGAUUGUAAUGAGCAACAUGGGAAAUGCAGUGUUUUAAAAGUGACAGCUGCAUGAUUUGAUGUUUCAAGAUUUAAGCUUGUGCACUAAUGUUUAUCAGAGAAAACACAGCUAAUACUUCUCAACCACACAUGUGAUGACUAAUUAUAUUUACUAUCUGAUAUAGUACUCAAUUACAUCACAUGCAGUAUACUAAUACAGUACCAUACACCAGUAGUUUUAAAGUCAUAGUUUUUCAGUUAUUUGUACUAUGCAUUUACAUGUGCCUCAAUCAUGUGCUGCUUUUUCAGAGCUGCUUUUACUUACAGCUUUCUGGUGUAGGACACCGAGUGCCUAGAGCUGCACUGGCAUAUUAUGCUCUAUCUAUAUCAGUACCCCUACAAUCGUGGUGCGUCUGCUCACCUUAAAUGACGCUGCAUAUUGGUUACCGUCUGCCGGGCCAUCGCCACCCUUGCCACCCCUUUACCCCCACUCUAAAGGAGGGUGUUCCGAUAAUAGACAUUGAAGGAGUGUAAUUUAUUAUUAAAGUUGUGAAAAACACAGAGUUCGCUGCAAGCAGUCAAAUUCUUACCUCUCCACACCUCCAAAUGACCUCACAACGAGAAAAAGUGGGAGUGAUUUGAAUUCCCAGUGAUUAAAUCCAAACCACGAUUGCAAAUUACACGUUAUAGGCCUAUAUAAAGAAUAUCUAAUCAGUGUGUGUAGCUGUUUACUGAAACCAAAACCAAACUGCAAUCUGAAUUACUUAAAUGAAUUCCAAUGAGAUGAGUAAUGAGAUAAUGAAAACACUCUGACACAGGUCAGGGCAUUCACUUACAAAUAAUAAUCCUGAUUUCUUCACCUUAAUCCUCUAUCUCACAGAUAAAACUUGAAAACUCAUUAAAAAAACUUUAGCAGUAACAAAGAAGCUUCUCACUGACUUGAGAGUGAAACUAAUCUUGAUUUCUAAGGGACAAUAAAACUGCAGCGACACCUUUCAGCUGUACGUGCUUUAAAAAUAAAGAUCAGCAGAUACUGCAACUGGACAAUACAGCACUAACACAACCAUGUCUGUUUUUUUUUUUUCCCAAAGUAUUUGUCCCUUCCUGGUUAGGGCUUUAAACCCUUUCUGAAGAUACCGUAAAUACUUCUCUGAAGGAUACCCUAAAUACGUAUGAAAUUCAGUUAAAGGAUAAUCUCACCUGGAUACUGUAGAUUUGUAGCUAAGAUCAUAAACACUGUCCUGUCAUAUUGUCUGCUCAUAUUGAGCAUCCAUUCAGCACAUUUCUGUUAAGCUGCUUUGGCAAUGUCUAUUUUAUCUGCACAGUUAAAGCUGAAAGGUAUGAAGUAUGUGUGUGUGUGUGUGUGUGUUGUUACUUAUGCUAAUGCACAUGAAUUCUCUCUCUCUGUAACACACACUCUCUCUAACUCUCAUUCCAGGUCCUGGAGCUGAAGUCAGCAUAUUUUUCUGCCUCUUUUGCUGUCUCUGCAGUGAGCUUUAUCCAGCAUGUCUGCAUGUCUUGGGCUUUCAGCCUGGUCACAUGAUAUGAAAUCAUCUGAACCAAAGCAGACAAUUAAAGCAGACAUAUCCACACAUACACAAACACACACAUACACACACACGCUGAGCCGUCAUUUCAAAUCUAAUCACCAAAGCCUCCAGACAAGUGGAAGAAAAGACGUCUGUAAUUCAUGUUUAAAUUCACUAAACACACAUAUACACACACGUUUUUAUUCUGUACAGUGUCUCACAAAACCAAAUGUUAUUAUUAUAGUAACGUGGACAAAAUAUAGUCUAAACUAGCAGUGAUGUUGCACCUGAUACACUCACGUGGGUACCACACACACCACCAUGACAUCAUCACUGCUGUACAGAAAAUGAUCCACCACCCAAAUGUCUGUUCUGCAGUGAUCUAAUGCUGAAAUUUUUGGUUUGUUUGCUCUUUGAUUUGGUUUGUUUUCACUCUGCACACAGGUUAGUUGAAGGGCGUGUAGGACUGAAAACGCCCUCGUAUAACUCUUUCAUUCAUUGGUCAGAAAUACGGCAAAAUCCAGGAGUAAACAAAACUUCACCAAAUAACACAUGGCAUUUCUGCAGCACUACAGCUCUAGCGUUCUCCUGGAAGCGGACCGAGAACACUUUGCUGAUAUGCAUUUGGACCCGAGUGGGAACGAUCUGUUCUCACUUGCUUAAAGAACUGCACCCAGGGGGAGAAGACAUCAGCGUCCUAUUCAAACCGGCUAAACACUGCAUAUGUACGCAUCCGAGUGAAGAGCGUCUCUGUUUCUACUUCCUGUAGCUCGCAGUGUUUACAGAGCCUCCGUUCUUUGGGUUUGGCAAGUUGGAGUGACUGUUUUUCAGACCAGUUACCCUUCAAAUCACAACAAACUGUACCGCUGCCUGUAAAUGAAUAAUACAAACUUUAUAUACUACAUUUUGAAUGCACCGAUCACACCCAGGUAAUAUUACACUGUAGGCUGUCUUUCCGUGUCUCGGGUGUAGUACUCUUGUCUUUUGUAUCUGUAAUAUGUCUUUCAGCAGGUUAUGUGUGUAUAGUGUACCAUUAAAAAUGAUUUAAGGCAGGGGGUUUCUCAAACUUUUUGUAUCUAGGGAUUCCAGAUAUAAUUUAGAUAGAUAGAUAGAUAGAUAGAUAGAUAGAUAGGCUAAUUGAUCCUGAGAGAAAUUGCAGCAUUACAGUGGUAGUAAAAAUAAACUUAUUUUUGCACAACAUACAGAUAGUCCUGUUAUAAAAUAAACACAGUAAAAACAAGGCACCUAAAUGUUGUGCCUUUUCUAUAUAACUGAGUGUGUAUAACUAAUAUAAUAAUAACAGAAUCAUAAAUUAUUAUUUUUUUAAAAAUGGAAACAUGCUUCCUUCCUUCCUUAAAACAGAAAAACUCGACAAUGUGACCAGCUCUAUAAAACAAAAUUAAUAUCAUAACGAAUCUAGCUGAAAGAAUUGAAUGUAAAUGUACAGUGAGCAUGUGCAGCUUUACCUGUACAUCUUCCAGCAAUUUCCACUGUCAGGUUUGGCAGUAAUGAUGGUGUGGCUCACACACAGCGUGGGUUUACUACGGAGCUCAGUGCCAAAGGCUUUGGUAAUGUUGCAGCUGGUAAUUAGUUCAAUUGUAUGUGUUUAGAGCCAGAGUGACAGUUUCUGCUGUAAGAGCUCAGGCUUAAAAUCGCAGCUGUUUACUCUGUAAGUGUGAGACAGCAUGUUGUUUAGGCACGUACACAUGCAGUGUGAUGCUGUGGCCCUCACUCUGAUAUUGCUAUUUUUAAUAUCAUGCCAUGUUAGGAUUUAUAUCUCAAUCAACUUACAGUAGUGCUGUUCAGCCCCCCGGAUGUUCACAUCAACUAAAUAUAGUGGAGCUCUGCCCGCUGAGUUUCCUCAAAUUUUCCCCUGAUAGAAAUUACACUUAUUGAGGUAUGAAGUUGUAAAUGCAUAA